UAUAUAGCUGGCUAUAAACAUUGCCAGAAAGUGGUAUUUGGAACCACUUUCUGGCAAUGUUUAUAGCCAGCUAUAUA